AGCCAACAGAAUUUGGGAAAUAAGGAAUGGCUACAAUAUCAAAAUAUCCGAGAAGUAAUCGAGGAGAGAUGUUCAAUAAGUUCUGGAAAAGAACCCCAUCAACUUCAUUGUGUGCUGAUGAAUCAUCUAUUUAUGGGAGACAAAGGGACAAAGAGGCCUUUCUUGAAUUGAUACUCAGCAGUGAAGCAUUUGGCAAUUGUGGGGGUUCUGUGUUUGCCAUAGUUGGGAUGGCAGGGGUGGGCAAGACCACUCUGGCUCAGCUUGUCUACAAUGAUCAUAGAGUGAUGAAUUCUUUUGAUUUUAAAAGAUGGGUUUUUGUUUCUGACAACUUCGAUGUUGUGGAAGUAACAAAAUCAAUCCUGCAAGAUCCAGAGUUUACCACGACGACUUAUAACGGCAAUGAUCUAGACUUGCUUCAGUCGAUGCUCAGAGGAAAACUGUCCAAGAAGAAGUUCUUCAUUGUUCUGGAUGAUGUGUGGAAU
rnacentral:misc_RNA from 1 species